rnacentral:rRNA from 1 species
AUUGAACGCUGGCGGCAGGCCUAACACAUGCAAGUCGAGCGGAUGAAGGGAGCUUGCUCCUGGAUUCAGCGGCGGACGGGUGAGUAAUGCCUAGGAAUCUGCCUGGUAGUGGGGGAUAACGUCCGGAAACGGGCGCUAAUACCGCAUACGUCCUGAGGGAGAAAGUGGGGGAUCUUCGGACCUCACGCUAUCAGAUGAGCCUAGGUCGGAUUAGCUAGUUGGUGGGGUAAAGGCCUACCAAGGCGACGAUCCGUAACUGGUCUGAGAGGAUGAUCAGUCACACUGGAACUGAGACACGGUCCAGACUCCUACGGGAGGCAGCAGUGGGGAAUAGUGGACAGUGGGCGAAAGCCUGAUCCAGCCGUGCCGCGUGUGUGGAGAAGGUCUUCGGAUUGUAAAGCACUUUAAGUUGGGAGGAAGGGCAGUAAGUUAAUACCUUGCUGUUUUGACGUUACCAACAGAAUAAGCACCGGCUAACUUCGUG